UGACAAGAAAUAACAAUACAAGGCAGUUAAAAUGCUUUGUAAUUGGAAUGAUAGAAAUUUAAACACUUUUUAAAGUAUCAAUUGGAGGGCAAGUCUGGUGCCAGCAGCCGCGGUAAUUCCAGCUCCAAUAGCGUAUAUUAAAAUUGUUGCAGUUAAAAAGCUCGUAGUUGAAUUUCUGCUAAAAAAAACCGGUCUGCUUUUAAUAAAAGUGGUAUCUUGGUGUGUUUUUAGCAAUAAUGUCUUUUGGAAUGUUUUAUUACUUUAUUGUAAUAAAUCAUAUUCAGGGUUUUUACUUUGAGAAAAUUAGAGUGUUUCUAGCAGGCUAACGCUUUGAAUACUGCAGCAUAGAAUAAUAAAAUAGGAUUUUAGUUCUACAUUAUUGGUUUUAAGAGCUAAAUUAAUAAUUAAUAGGGACAGUUGGGGGCAUUUGUAUUUAAUUGUC
rnacentral:rRNA from 1 species